GACGAACGCUGGCGGCGUGCCUAAUACAUGCAAGUCGAGCGCAGGAAACUGACGGAACUCUUCGGAGGGAAGGCAGUGGAAUGAGCGGCGGACGGGUGAGUAACACGUAAGGAACCUGCCUCAAGGAUUGGGAUAACUCCGAGAAAUCGGAGCUAAUACCGGAUAGUUCAACGGACCGCAUGGUCCGCUGAUGAAAGGCGCUCCGGCGUCACCUUGAGAUGGCCUUGCGGUGCAUUAGCUAGUUGGUGGGGUAACGGCCCACCAGGGCGACGAUGCAUAGCCGACCUGAGAGGGUGAUCGGCCACACUGGGACUGAGACACGGCCCAGACUCCUACGGGAGGCAGCAGUAGGGAAUCUUCCACAAUGGACGAAAGUCUGAUGGAGCAACGCCGCGUGAGUGAUGAAGGUUUUCGGAUCGUAAAACUCUGUUGUAAGGGAAGAACACGUACGAGAGGGAAUGCUCGUACCUUGACGGUACCUUACGAGAAAGCCACGGCUAACUACGUGCCAGCCGCCGCAGUAA
rnacentral:rRNA from 1 species